rnacentral:rRNA from 1 species
GACAGCCAGGAUGUUGGCUUAGAAGCAGCCAUCAUUUAAAGAAAGCGUAAUAGCUCACUGGUCGAGUCGGCCUGCGCGGAAGAUGUAACGGGGCUAAACCAUGCACCGAAGCUGCGGCAGCGACACUGUGUGUUGUUGGGUAGGGGAGCGUUCUGUAAGCCUGCGAAGGUGGCCUGUGAGGGUUGCUGGAGGUAUCAGAAGUGCGAAUGCUGACAUAAGUAACGAUAAAGCGGGUGAAAAGCCCGCUCGCCGGAAGAC